CUACUAUCACUCUCCUCCCCCUCCAGUGAAAUCUCCCCCUCCUCCAUACUAUUAUCACUCACCACCCCCUCCGGUUAAGUCUCCACCACCACCAUACUACUACCAUUCACCACCCCCUCCGGUUAAAUCUCCACCACCACCAUACUACUAUCAUUCACCACCCCCUCCAGUCAAGUCUCCUCCUCCACCAUACCAUUACUCUUCACCACCACCUCCGGUUAAAUCCCCACCACCACCAUACGUCUACAGCUCUCCACCACCACCAGUAAAAUCUCCUCCACCUCCGGUCUACAUCUACGCUUCUCCCCCACCUCCCACACAUUACUAGGCUCUUCAAAUUCAACAAAAUUUCCCCAUUAUUCAAGUUUUCUUUUAAAAAAUGAAAUAAAGGAAGGGUCAAAGUCAAAGAGGAGAAGAAGUGAACCAAAUAAGGAUCGUCGCGUGGAAAUCAGAAAGGAUGCAUCUAUAACAACGAACCACAUCAUCACUUCGUCUUCUUCAAUGUCGCUCAUCUUCCACUUGUGCAUCAUUAUGAUCUUUGCAUCUUCAUCAAGUCAAAAUUGUUUACAAGACCCUUUUAGAUCGUAUCAUACUCUUCUAUGUUCACUUUUGUUGUUAAGUAAAAAAAAAGUGGGUUUUGGUAAUUUAAUUGUUGUGCAUACAUUUUCUAUUUUGUUAUUCUUGUAAUGAGAGAGUUGUUAGCAUAUAAAACAAAGUUCAGUUUCUUCUU